rnacentral:rRNA from 1 species
AACGUAGGAGACAAACGUUAUCCGGAGUUACUGGGCGUAAAGGGCGUGUAGGCGGUUGGUUAAGUCUGGCGUGAAAGCUCUCGGCUAAACCGGGAGAGGUCGUUGGAGACUGGCCGACUGGAGGAUGGUAGAGGCGUGUGGAAUUCCGGGUGUAGUGGUGAAAUGCGUAGAGAUCCGGAGGAACACCAGUGGCGAAGGCGACACGCUGGGCCAUACCUGACGCUAAAGCGCGACAGCAUGGGGAGCAAACGGG